CAACGCAAAUUACAUUGGUUUUCUUGGUGGAAGAUGUGCAUCCCUAAACUCUGGGGAGGCAUGGGUUUUCGUGACAUUCAUAGCUUUAAUUUGGCUAUGCUCGCUAAGCAAUGUUGGAGGCUCAUUGAUAACUAUGAUUCUUUGUGUGCAGAAGUCCUAAGAACCAAAUACUACCCCUCUGGUGAUUUGUUAAAUUGUGAACUAAAAAAGGGUUCGUUCUAUGUUUGGCAGAGUAUCUGGGCAGGGAUACAAAUUUUCAAGAAAGGAUGCAUAUGGAGGGUAGGCAAUGGGAUGAAGAUAAACAUCUGGGAAGACUGCUGUAUACCAAAUAGUAUAUCCAGGAAGAUUAUAACAGUCCGGGGCAACUGUGUUCUGACGAUGGUGAAUGAACUUAUAAAUCCUGUCACUGGAGAAUGGGAUAAAGUACUAAUACGGGACAACUUUUGGCAUAUUGAUGCGGAGAGGAUUUUGCAAAUUCCGAUCUUUCAUCAUGAUACGGAAGAUUUUGUUUCUUGGCACCUUACAAAGUAG
rnacentral:rRNA from 1 species